rnacentral:rRNA from 1 species
GACGUAGGGCGCGAGCGUUGUCCGGAUGUAUUGGGGUUAAAGGGUGCGUAGGCGGCUUAUUAAGUCAGGGGUGAAAGACGGUGGCUCAACCAUCGCAGUGCCCUUGAUACUGAUGAGCUUGAAUACACUUGAGGUAGGCGGAAUGUAACAAGUAGCGGUGAAAUGCAUAGAUAUGUCACAGAACACCAAUUGCGAAGGCAGCUUACUAAGGUGCAAUUGACGCUGAGGCACGAAAGCGUGGUGAUCAAACAGG